GACGAACGCUGGCGGCGUGCUUAACACAUGCAAGUCGAACGGAAAGGCCCUGCUUUUGUGGGGUGCUCGAGUGGCGAACGGGUGAGUAACACGUGAGUAACCUGCCCUUGACUUUGGGAUAACUUCAGGAAACUGGGGCUAAUACCGGAUAGGAGCUCCUGCUGCAUGGUGGGGGUUGGAAAGUUUCGGCGGUUGGGGAUGGACUCGCGGCUUAUCAGCUUGUUGGUGGGGUAGUGGCUUACCAAGGCUUUGAAGGGUAGCCGGCCUGGGAGGGUGACCGGCCACAUUGGGACUGAGAUACGGCCCAGACUCCUACGGGAGGCAGCAGUGGGGAAUAUUGCACAAUGGGCGGAAGCCUGAUGCAGCAACGCCGCGUGCGGGAUGACGGCCUUCGGGUUGUAAACCGCCUUCGCCUGUGACGAAGCGUGAGUGACGGUAAUGGGUAAAGAAGCACCGGCUAACUACGUG
rnacentral:rRNA from 1 species